GAAGAAGUGCAUUGAAUAAGGGGGCCCUUCUCUCUAAGCUUAUCAUGAAAAGGCUGAUGGAGAGACAUGAUCAAAUCUUGUCUUAAAGUUAGGUUUGUUUCCACUUUGGAUGGGUGAGUUGUAGUUGGAGACUUGUGAGUUUUCAGCGUGGUGUCUUUUUAUGAGCUUGAUGGACCCUUGUGUUUCAUCAUAUUAUUGCUGUGUGUGUUGUCUUUAUGCUUU
rnacentral:misc_RNA from 1 species